GAGCACAUCGCUGCCGACCAGGUACCAGCUGAGGCCGGCGGCGAGCAGGCAGCCGGCGGCGGUGGAGGCGUUCAUCGCGGGCUACGACGUGACAGACGAGGAGGAAGAGGAGGAAAAAAGGGGAGGAGGAAGGAGAUGGAGGGGAUUGUUCAAACAAAAGUUCAAGGGAAACAAAGGAGAGGAGAAAAUGGUGGGAUGACAUUUCUAACAAUGUCUGUCACGGCCGUGACGUGAAUCGGUGAAAUGCCGGUUGUGUCCUGAAGAUGACGGUGAGCAUAGAGAAACCAAUGGCAGCAGCCAGUCCCAGGUCAGGGUUCAACAGCAAGGUGAGGAUGAAGGUGGCCACCCA